rnacentral:rRNA from 1 species
UACGUAGGGUGCAAGCGUUGUCCGGAUUUAUUGGGCGUAAAGAGCUCGUAGGCGGUUUAGUAAGUUGGGUGUGAAAACUCCAGGCUCAACCUGGAGAUGCCACCCAAGACUGCUAUGACUUGAGUCUGGUAGGGGAGCACGGAAUUCCUGGUGGUAGCGGUGAAAUGCGCAGAUAUCAGGAGGAACACCGGUGGCGAAGGCGGGUCUCUGGACAGUUACUGACACUGAGGCACGAAGGCCAGGGGAGCAAACGGG